CCAAACUUGGUCAUUUAGAGGAAGUAAAAGUCGUAACAAGGUUUCCGUAGGUGAACCUGCGGAAGGAUCAUUACAGUGUUCCCUGCCCUCACGGGUAGAAACGCCCACCCUUGUAUAAUAUAUCUUGUUGCUUUGGCAGGCCGCCCUCGGGCAUUGGCCUCGGCUGAUCCGCGCCUGCCGGAGGACCCCAAACUCUGAAUGUUAGUGUCGUCUGAGUACUAUAUAAUAGUUAAAACUUUCAACAACGGAUCUCUUGGUUCUGGCAUCGAUGAAGAACGCAGC
rnacentral:misc_RNA from 1 species